rnacentral:misc_RNA from 1 species
UUAUCAUUUAGAGGAAGGAGAAGUCUUAACAAAGUUUCCAUAGGUGAACCUGCGAAUGGAUCAUUGUCGAGGCCCAUAGAGCAGCGAGACCCGCAAACCGGUGGCUCGGGGAGUGAAGUGCCACCCGCUCUCCCAGGGGACCACGUGGCGAACCACCCCCGUCACAAUGGGCACCAAAGAAUUGUGAUGGAAUGAGCGCGGCUCCCUCCAGGGAUGCCGGUGCACUUUUAGAACUUACACGACUCUCGACAAUGGAUAUCUCGGCUCUCGCAUUGAUAAAGAACGUAGCAAAAUGCGAUACUUAGUAUGAAUUACAGAAUCUCGUGAACCAUCCACUCUUUAAACGCAAGUUGUGUCCAAGGCCACCAGGCCAAGGGCAUGCCUGCUUGGGUGUCAUACACUGUGUUGCCCCACCCGGCACUCACCCCAUCCGGUAGCGGCGUCGAGGGGCUGAAAAGCAUUCACUCCCCCGCCAGGGCGCAGACGCAACAAUAGGUGGUUUGACAGGCGGUUGCCUCGUCGGAGCCCGGAUGCCGCGCUUGGGGGCAGAACAAAGUGGCACCUAACUCAGUUGCCCUCGUGUAGCGACCCCAGGUCAGGCGGGGACACCCACUGAGUUUAAGCAUAUCAAUAA